AUCAUUUUUGAAAUUCGAAUUGGCGACAUAUAUCGGAUUUGAAAUUCAAUUGUAUUGGCGGACAAAAAAACAACGAGUUGACAGACAAAAAUGAAUAUUCCAAACAAAAUGAAAAGAUUGUGGAAAUUAUGAUAAUUCAACAUCUGGCAAAAGUUCAGGAGGAAGAUGAAAGUAUUUAGAGGAAAAGAAAAAUGAAAACCUACCAAGAUUUUGUGACAGAAAGUGUGAUGAGAUCUCAGGUUGGAAACGGUAAUGAUACGAUUAAAGUAUGCCCCAGAUCGACACAGUGGAGGAGGACGAAAGAAGAUACAUAAACAUUGCUAUUUAUAGUAAUAACAAAAUAUUCAGAAUAUUAUUCCAUAUAUUGUAACAUUCAGAUCUAGAUUCAGUUAUAAAAUACAAAGACAAAUAUACAAUCAGUGAACUGGAUAGAUGAUUGGAAAAUCCGAAAAUCAGGGUGAUCAGUUCAUGAUCAGUGGUGAUAUAAAAAAACACAUGCAUGGAUGUUUACUAUACAAAAUGUCAGUGGUAACAUUCAAGAAGGAUGUUGUGUAUCUAAUAUCUAAAACAUGCUUAUUUAAUACAUAAAGUGUUAUUAAAGUACAUACUUUCAAGUUUAAUAGUUUCAAAAAAUAUUAUGUAAAUCUUGCAUUUGUUAUCGUACCACAUUUCUUGUUUGGAACUUGUGAUUCCGAGUAUACAAAUAAAUUGCUAAAAUUAUAAGAAUGCUUAUUUGUUACCCUAUUAUGAAAGAAAAAUCGUAUUCCAAGUUUUGAAUGAGGUUAGAGUCUAAAUCAUGGUCAGAUAAGGUUGGAUUCUGGUCAAAUAAUGGUCAGAAAAGGUUGGAUUAUGGUCAGAAAAGGUCGGAUUAUGUCCAAAUAAUGGUCAGGAAAGGUUGGAUUAUGGUCAGAUAAUGGUC